GUGUUUGCUUAGGUAGCACAUAUUCUAAAUUUGGAACAACACAAAGAUUAGCAUGGCCCUGAGCAAAGACGACAUGCAAAUUUAUGAAGGAUUCCACUACAGA
ensembl:snRNA U6 U6 spliceosomal RNA